rnacentral:rRNA from 1 species
UGAGGAAUAUUGGCCAAUGGGCGCAAGCCUGAACCAGCCAAGUAGCGUGCAGGAAGACGGCCCUAUGGGUUGUAAACUGCUUUUAUACGAGAAUAAUUUGAUGCACGUGUGCGUUAUUGCAUGUAUCGUAUGAAUAAGGACCGGCUAAUUCCGUGCCAGCAGCCGCGGUAAUACGGAAGGUCCAGGCGUUAUCCGGAUUUAUUGGGUUUAAAGGGAGUGUAGGCGGUUUGUUAAGCGUGUUGUGAAAUUUAGGUGCUCAACAUUUAACUUGCAGCGCGAACUGUCAGACUUGAGUACACGCAACGUAUGCGGAAUUCAUGGUGUAGCGGUGAAAUGCUUAGAUAUCAUGAAGAACUCCGAUUGCGAAGGCAGCAUACGGGAGUGUAACUGACGCUUAAGCUCGAAGGUGCGGGUAUCGAACAGGAUUAGAUACCCUGGUAGUCCGCACAGUAAACGAUGGAUGCCCGCUGUUAGCGCCUGGCGUUAGCGGCUAAGCGAAAGCAUUAAGCAUCCCACCUGGGGAGUACGCCGGCAACGGUG